ensembl:misc_RNA Y_RNA Y RNA
GGCUGGUCCCAGUGCAGGGGUGUUCACAACUCAUUGACCACGACCAGUUACAGAUUCCUUUGUUCCUUCUCCACUCCCACUGCUUCACUUGACUAGCCUAAA